rnacentral:rRNA from 1 species
AUGUGAAUUAGGUGUCGGGGGUGUCGAUCCCUCGGGCGCCGCAGCUAACGCAUUAAAUCCACCACUUGGGAAGUACGGUUCGCAAGACUGAAACUCAAAGAAAUUGACGGGGACCCGCACAAGCGGUGGAGCAUGUGGUUUAAUUCGAGGCUACGCGAAGACCCUUACCCAGGUUUGACAUGUAGUUGACAGAGGAUGAAAGUCCUUCUUCUCGCAAGAGACAAUUACACAGGUGCUGCAUGGCUGUCGUCAGCUCGUGCUGUGAAGUGUUGGGUUAAGUCCCGCAACGAGCGCAACCUUUGUCCUUAGUUGCCAUCAGGUAAAGCUGGGCACUCUAGGGAGACUGCCGGUGAUAAACUGGAGGAAGGAGGAGAUGACGUCAAGUCAGUAUGGCCCUUAUACCUGGGGCUACACACGUGCUACAAUGGCCGCUACAAAGGGCAGCAAACCCGCGAGGGGGCGCUAAUCCCAAAAAAACGGGCUCAGUUCAGAUUGAAGGCUGCAACUCGCCUUCAUGAAGUCGGAAUCGCUAGUAACGGUAGAUCAGCUACGCUACCGUGAAUACGUUCCCGGGUCUUGUACACACCGCCCGUCAAGCCACCUGAGUUGGGAGCACCCGAAAUCGAUGAUCUAACCCGCAAGGGAGGAAGUCGCUUAAGGUGAGACCAGUAAGGAGGGCUAAGUCGUAACAAGGUAACC